GACGAACGCUGGCGGCGUGCUUAACACAUGCAAGUCGAACGGAAAGGCCCUGCUUUUGUGGGGUGCUCGAGUGGCGAACGGGUGAGUAACACGUGAGUAACCUGCCCUUGACUUUGGGAUAACUUCAGGAAACUGGGGCUAAUACCGGAUAGGAGCUCCUGCUGCAUGGUGGGGGUUGGAAAGUUUCGGCGGUUGGGGAUGGACUCGCGGCUUAUCAGCUUGUUGGUGGGGUAGUGGCUUACCAAGGCUUUGACGGGUAGCCGGCCUGAGAGGGUGACCGGCCACAUUGGGACUGAGAUACGGCCCAGACUCCUACGGGAGGCAGCAGUGGGGAAUAUUGCACAAUGGGCGGAAGCCUGAUGCAGCAGCGCCGCGUGCGGGAUGACGGCCUUCGGGUUGUAAACCGCUUUCGCCUGUGACGAAGCGUGAGUGACGGUAAUGGGUAAAGAAGCACCGGCUAACUACGU
rnacentral:rRNA from 1 species